rnacentral:rRNA from 1 species
UACAGAGGUGGCAAGCGUUGUUCGGAAUUACUGGGCGUAAAGGGCGCGUAGGCGGUCUUGUAAGUCUUGUGUGAAAUCCCUCGGCUUAACUGAGGAACUGCACGGGAUACUGCGAGACUUGAGUUCGGGAGAGGGAAGCGGAAUUCCGGGUGUAGCGGUGAAAUGCGUAGAUAUCAAGUGGAACACCAGUGGCGAAGGCGAGUCUCUGGACAUUUCCUGACGCUGAGGCACGAAAGCCAGGGGAGCAAACGGG